rnacentral:rRNA from 1 species
GAUGAGCGCUGGCGGUAUGCUUAACACAUGCGAGUCGAACGGACUCUUCGGAGUUAGUGGCGGACGGGUGAGUAACGCGUGAGAAUCUGGCUUUGGGUUCGGGACAACCACUGGAAACGGUGGCUAAUACCGGAUGUGCCGAGAGGUAAAAGAGAAAUUGCCUGAAGAUGAGCCCGCGUCUGAUUAGCUAGUUGGUGAGGGAAAGGCUCACCAAGGCAGCGAUCAGUAGCUGGUCUGAGAGGACGACCAGCCACACUGGGACUGAGACACGGCCCAGACCCCUACGGGAGGCAGCAGUGGGGAAUUUUCCGCAAUGGGCGAAAGCCUGACGGAGCAAUACCGCGUGAGGGAAGAAGGCUCUUGGGUUGUAAACCUCUUUUCUUAGGGAAGAACAAAAUGACGGUACCUAAAGAAUCAGCAACGGCUAACUCCGUG